rnacentral:tRNA from 1 species
GGAGGUGUGCCCGAGCGGCCGAAGGGAGCGCACUGCUAAUGCGUUAAGGGGGGUUGACCUCCUUCCGGGGUUCAAAUCCCCGCGCCUCCGCCA